AUUUUAUUAGUAUAUAUAAGUACACCUAAUUUCCAAUUAGAAAGAUUUUUCAAAAUAAAAUA
rnacentral:tRNA from 1 species